rnacentral:tRNA from 1 species
AGUAAGAUAAGCUAUAUAAGCUAGUGGGUUCAUACCCCGAAAAAGAGUUAAUCUCUCUUACUA